rnacentral:lncRNA from 1 species
UAGUUCUGCAAAGAAUGUGAUGAAGGGACUACUGCCAUACUUAACACUCCCAGCACUGCCAGAAUGACCGAGAUUUGGGAAACGACCUCUAGUGAACCAUCGUCUGUUUUGAGGGAGGAAUUCGUGAGGCAGUUGUACUGGAUGUUGGACAAGGAAAAGGGGGAUUUUAUGCACGAGUCUGCUCAGUUC